UAUUUUGCUAAUCUUGGUACAACUUUAUUACAGAAAACUAAAUGAGCACAUGGUUGUUGUUAGUUCGUGCAAGGAGACAAUUAGACAAGACAAAGAUGUUCCAUUGUGGGUAAAUUAAUACUUUGAAUUCCUACUUUUUUAAUAUCACGGUGGAUGAUAAAAGGUUCCUUAUGCUGCAUGUACCCAAAUUUGAGUUCCUACUUUUUAGUAUCACAGUGAAUUCCUUUUGCUGCAUGUCCCCAAAUUAAAGUUUCUGAACUAGCGCACCUCUAAUUCAAAAUUGGAUUGCUUAAUUAAAGUUAACCAUUGGCCUUAUUAUUUCAACCUUAUAGCCUAUGCCAUAUAGAAACUGCCAUGCUAAUCUGGCAUUUCUUAAUAUAUAAUACCUCUCUGCAUAUCAGUAAAGUUGUUACUGUCUGCUAAUUAAUUUUUUUUUAUUGCGGUUGAGAACAACAAUAUUCAUUUUGUAGGAAUGUGUUGCUCGCAUCUUUUAGAGAUAUAAGAAAUUCAAAGUUGCUGUAUUUAAUUAUCCUAUAUUACUAAAGGUUGGCUUCCUUUCACUUUGAAUCAUUUAUCUGGCGGAUUUUAAGAAAAAUUUAGCAAUUUCAAAGCAAUGGAAGUUCAAGUUCAAAGGAUAAUAAGCUAGAGUGGCAAGAUAAGAACUAAUGUCUGGUAUGCGAUGUUUGGCGAUUUAUGUUCGGAUAAAGAUAUGUUCUUCUUGGUUUCACUGAUUCAUAUACUUUGGCAAGAUAUAAAUAGUACCAAAAGUGGUUGCGGGCAGGGCUUCACAAACAAGAUAUGUAUCGAUUUUCAUACCAUCGUUUUAUUUGAUGUCCACUCAAUAUCUUGGAUCUGAGUUAUUACGUAUGUUUUCCACUAUUCUCACCCAAGCUAUUAGAUCAGACUUCUUGGUUACAUUCAUACAUUCAUGGACCACUUAGGUUAUUUUUUUAUUUCUACAACAAUAUCAUUUGUUUGAUGCUUCACCCCAAUAGCUCCUACAUGAGUUUGUACAGUUGUUUUUCCUGGUUUUAGUCUAGCAAUUAUCUCACUUAGACAUCAUGCUAUUUCCAUGGUCUUUGUUUUCCAGUGUCUUGGUUUUGUGUUAGGAGUAGAGGUUUGGUUAUGUUAUCAUUUUUAGGAACUGAUAAAUAGUCACUGCUAGAAUUUGGCUGCUGCUAGAUUAUUCUUAGGACAUCCUUUUAUUUUAUAUGGGAAAUGCUCUUCUACAAAGCCAUGUAAAUCUACUGCCCAUGUUAGUAACAAAGAAUUGCUCACUCUAUUCAAGACAUUCGAAUUUCACAAUCAACGAUGACAUGAUAGUGUGGGAAGAUAGUUCUACUUCUACCAGUUACAAGUACACGUUCUGAUGUUGGAAAAUACUCCCGGCCAGAGUCAUUCUAUGCAAGCCGGCAAUGGUCCUGAUUUAGUAGUCCUGUAGUGCCUUCGGAUUUCUAAUGAUGUGAUAGGGACACCACAUACACUUUCGUUUCAUGCUUUCUUAUUGUUUCUAACGUAUCUUAAUUAAAUUUGAGGCUAAAGCGUAUGUAUAGAUAAUUAUAUUCUUCUUUUGGACCAUAACAGGAAAAGAGAUAAACUACAUCUUUCUUGCCAGCAAAAUUUUAUCGUGGUAUAGAACCUGCAGACCCCCCCUCUUCCCCGAAGAUUUACACUUAUACUAGUAUGAAUAGAAAUUAAGGCGAAGUAGUGUGGCCUGGACAUCACUUCAAUGCAAAAUCCAGAAGGAUAUACAAAUCUUAUUUAUUAAUAUAUGAAAAAGGUAAAAUUCAAUGAGUAAAAUAACCGACAUAGUAAUUUUGGUUGCUUCAACAAUAUGGUUUCAGCAGUUUUCAGGCUUAAAAUCUUUCUCCUAGAUGCAACAACUGAUUUACUUUGCAUAAUAUUGGAAAAUUUUAAACUCUUGCUUUAUUGUAGUUACCCUUUUGCCUAUAAUUCUGCUCUUUAUAAUUUUAUAGUUUUGUUCUUUCAGACUCUCCGGUUGACAUUGCCAUGCCAAUUAUAGGCCUCUGUUUUAGAUUGUUUUUGAUAUCUUUGUUUGCUGAAGAACUGAACCACCUCUCAUCCUGCCAUCCUGGUUCUCUUGCUUGCAGACUUCUCAGGGACCGUGUGUGGGUUCUUCUUUAUACGAAUAACGAUUGCUUAUGGUGUUACUCUACCAGACACCAUCACGCCUCCACCGAACGGCAGCCUCGCUGCUGGCCUACCCAGCCCACGUCCAAUUGCAGACAACGUCGUCCUCCAGUGGCUUCAUCUCGCCAACACAUCAGCUACUAUAGAGUUCAAUGGCUGGAUUUAUCAGAUUGACCUUACAUUCCAACGCCCACUGGGACGGACUACUGAAGGGCAACUGUGGGACGGGCUACUGGAGAAGGGCAAUAUAAAGUAAACCAAGGGUGCGGCGAUGCACCCAACAGGAUGCAGCCAAAAGAUCCCAUGCAACACACUCCCACCAAAUGUCCCCAAAUGUAUUCUUGGGAUAAGAUGGGAUUAUCUUUGUAUCAUCUGCAACAACAACAGCCAGCCAUGACAAAGGAAAGCUCUUCUAGAUGUUCUAAGGAACUUACUAAAGACACCAGGAAAGAUAAUACUUUGGCCGAGGAUGUCAGAUGUUUUUUAUGGGUUGUGGGAAUGCCAUUCUACAAUAAAUGAGAAUGAAUAAGGUUCGCAGAAAAUCGGUAACUUUUAAAAGCAUUGAGCGAAGUGCAAAGCCUAUGAAACCACCGAUGCGUACAUACACAAAGAUUCAGAAGUUUGGAUCCGUUGAAAGAUCUAUAGAUGUGACACGGUACAGAGAUUACCGUGAGCUGAGAUCGGCCAUCACAUCCAUGUUUGGACUCCAGGGGAAGCUUGAGCAUCCUGCAAGUUCAGAUUGGAAGCUUGUUCAUGUUGACUACGAAAACGAUGUCCUUCUCAUCGGCGAUGAUCCAUGGGAAGAAUUCAUCAACUGCGUCUCUUAUCGCCAUCAUAAGUGUAGCAAAUGAGUGAGAAUGGCAUGCAUGUCUUGACUGACUGCAUCCAAACACACCAGUAGGAUUACCACUAUCCCGGAUGUGUUUGCAAAUCAAAACAAAGCAGUGCUAGAUUAAGCUAGAGGUGUAUUUUGGAUACAAUGCCUUAGUUAACCGUAGGCUGAUUUACUGACAUUUGCAUUUGGUAGAGGAAUUUACCACUGUUUGUGUCGUGCUAGCUUUCUGGAGGGAAAUCAGAUAGAGAACAGACAGUUCCCUCUUUCCCAAGAUGAACAAACUCUGAAGAACCCCAAGCAGCAGCAUGCUUUGGAUGCCUACCUCCAGUGUGAUGAGAUUUAAUCUGAUGUUCUGAUUCAAUACCAAUAUAAAUGCUAGAGCUGUUGGGGUUGGUCUGGCAGUUGUAAACUUCACUGUUGUACAUCUUGGUUGGCAAUAGAGUUUUUUACCCUUGCAGGUUGUGCCAUUUUGUGUUCUGAUUGAUUUGCAAGGAGGCGUAAGUCAGUUUCUGCGGCGUCUAUUUAUGGCCUCUUGGUUCUUCAGUUCUUAAAUAUGAAUUGUGAGAUGUAAGCAAUAUUAUGUCGCAACAUGUUAAGGCGAUAAAUUGGGCAUGGCACUAAAAUUUGUCUUACAUGUAUCAACUAUGAUCCUUGAUCAUUUCAGCUUAAAUGCUUGGCCCCUGGUAUGCUUCCCAGGGCUUCUACAUAGUUAUUUGUGUUGUCCCAGGGAGUUGCUU